GAUGAAGAACGCAGCGAAAUGCGAUAAGUAAUGUGAAUUGCAGAAUUCAGUGAAUCAUCGAAUCUUUGAACGCAUCUUGCGCUCCUUGGUAUUCUGAGGAGCAUGCCUGUUUGAGUGUCAUUAAAUCCUCAACUACACUGACUUUGAAUUGGUGUGGCUUGGAUUUGGGGGGAAAAUUGUUGUGGGCUUUUUGUAUAGUCUGCUCCCCUGAAAUUGAUUAGCGGUACCUUUGUGGAACUGUCUACAGGUGUGAUAAUUAUCUACAUCUUAGACAUCUGCUGGAAUGCUGCUUUCUAAACCUUACUUGUAUUGACAAUCUUGACCUCAAAUCAGGUAGGACUACCCGCUGAACUUAAGCAUAUCAAUAAGCGGAGGA
rnacentral:misc_RNA from 1 species